rnacentral:lncRNA from 10 species
CUCAGCGUGUGUGCGUGUGUGCGUGUGUUCAAGGGCUGGGGGCUCAAUUGUGAGAGGUGGCCCAGGGGCCGGUUAGAGACUGGGAAGGACGACAGAGGCAAGACACGCAGCGAGUGCUCUCGCGAGAGUUCACCGAGUUGAUAAAAUUAUUAAAACACAAAAUACACAUUUGCGUGAGGGGGAAAAAAUACCCGCUUGUCCGUCCUGUCCCUUCAGGCUGCGCAACGCUGGAGGGCGAUGGGAGCUCCACACAGGUGGGACGAGCCUAGCAGUGAUGCUGCCUGGAGUUAAAGGAGGCCAGGAGCACCAGAAGCUGGAGGAGGCCGGGGUGGAUUCUCGCCUGGAGGCUUCAGUGGGAGCACGAGCUCCCGACACUUCGGUUCCAUCUCUUGUUUAAAGGCACCCAGUUUCUCAUCAUUUGUUACAGCACCAUGGAAAACCCACACACAAGUGAAGCCCCGACCCACCUCCCAAGUGCCCAUCUGAGCACCCCUCGUGGACUCUGAGCAGGGGGUUGCCAUCACCAACUCCAAGUCUUGCAGCCCCUCUUCCCUUCAGUCUGGCUGCCACCUUCUUCAUUGCCCUGGAAAAAAAUAAUGAAGUUUCACCAUUUAAAGGGUUUCAGUGCAGCUUGCUAUGGGAACACUGGAGAGUAACACAAAUGGCCAAUUGUCCUAAUAGCCACCAUGGAUUGGAUGGAUGCUAACAACAGGCUCACAGUUCUCCUUCUGUUGCCUCCUUUUAUCCACAUGAGAAUCAAACAAGAUCUUCUAGGAAUCUAAAAAUGUGUGUGAGAUUUCACCUGUAAAAGCUGAGUUAUUCUGAAUCUGCGUUUUCCUGAAGAUUUUUCUUUGUGUGGUCAGCCUUCUUGGAAAAAUCCAGAAGCCACCAUCAACUUACAACCCUGCAUGAAUAAAUGUAAUGUUUCGUUUGGAGAUUGAGAGCUGAUAUAUAGGACAAGGAUAACUGGCCCAAUACAGACAAAGUUCCUUUGAGUAAAGCAAUCUGAUCAUCCUUAAGGAGAGCCUCAGUAUAGAGCCUAGUCAGAGCCAGCAGAAGUUUAGACUCUCAAAGAGUCAGCCAGGUCCUCUUGGGAAGCACCUACUUGAGAAUCCUGCAUGAUAGAGUUUGACAUCUGGCUCUGUUACCUACAAGCUUGACCUCAUUCCUAUAAUCCUUCAUUUCAUCAUCUUUAAAGUGGGGAUGAAUUGUGCCUAGACAGACAGAAUAGAUGACCAUGCG